rnacentral:lncRNA from 1 species
UCUCCCUUAGGUUUCCAAGACCAAGGCCACUGCACUGGCAGGAAAGAGGAGGAGGAUGGGGAGGAGGUACAGGGUUCUUUUUGGUACCAGGGGAGAAAGACAUUGUGGGAAGAGGUAGUUUGCAGGGGGUGAUGCUUCUGCUCAGCAGGAGAAAAUGUCUUCUACAGUGACGGGGGUCACUGCCACCUGAGGGUCAUCAUGGCGGGCACCUGGGGGGCUGUGGUCAGGGGGCCUCGGGGUUCUGGAGGGGAAAGGCUCCUGUGAGACCCCAGCCAUCUUGUCUGCUGCCUCUUAGCAUGAGCUUUAGCAGAGACGGAAGGGGGCACCUGGCUGCCCGAUCCCGAGGCCACCUUGUCCUCCCCUCUGUCCUGAUCACAGCCACCCUGAAGCCUGGCUUGGUCCUUCACUAAGGAUACAGCUUUGGGGGUAGCUGCAUUUCAGACUGGUCCCUGCACCCCGCCCGGGCUGCGACCCCUCCUUUCCUGGUAUCCAGGCUGAAGUUGGCGGCUUCACCUCCUUCGUGCCUUUGGGGACAGCCCUGCCUGCCCCUCCCCACUGAGGCCUCAGGAGGUAAGUGGGUAGGAGUCUGGGUGCCCUAGUGUUCCUGAAUGUGCUAUGAUUUCACACCCUGGGCCUGUCUUUCGGUUCCCCGGGGCAGGAGCUGUCAUGGGGACAGAGGCGAUGCAAUCGGGCAAGCAAGGGAGCGAGCUGCCGGCCCCAGCGGAAUCAGCCGCUGCGGUGGGUGGUGCCAGGUGAGUCACUGGCCAGAGGGGCUGGGCAGAGGCCGAGGGCCUGCCCAGCUCUGUCUCCCGCCUCUUGCCCGGCCCGAGGCUCCCUGCGGGCACCUGCGAGGCCAGAGCAGCCCCCGCUCUGCCCGAGUCCUGCCUGGCUGGCUGCUUGCUCGAGGUUGGGGAGGCACGGAGCACGCACAGCAUGCGAGGGAGCUUCCAUUUGGAAAAAGAAAAUGAUCUCCAUCAGAAAAGAAAAGGCGACACAAUUGGAAAGGAAAAAAAAAUAAAUUACCUUCAAAAUACCCCUUUUGCUCAAAAAAAUUUUUUUUCUCUAUGGUCUUCAUUUUCUUUUUAACUAUGUUGCUCUUCUUGGGAAACUGUUGACUCUUGGCUGUCCACUUCCUCAAGAUGGAUACUUGUUAAUGAUACGAUACUCCAGCCGCCGCCACCCCGGUGGUCCUUGGCCUCCUCUGAGGACAGCCCUUCCAGGUCCCGUGAUCCCAUCUCUGUGCCCUGCCCCUCGUCCAAGGGCCUCCGCCUGUCUUAGCGUGUGCCCAGUGAAAGGCAUGUCCCAGCUCUGUUCACACUGGGGGACCCUCAUACAGUGACCAGUAUAACCAAGAACUGGGUGACAUCUGUUGAAACCCACUUUAGGGACACCCACUUUCAAGCUGCUGUUAGAUGGGAGCCUUGGGGGGUGGGCUGGAGAUGGCAUUAGCUGGGGGCUGGGCCGCAUCCCGCUUUCCUGAGGCCAGGGCCGGGGCUGCAUGCAUGCCUGGCUUGAGGAGAGCGUGGGGACACCAGGAGGUAGAAGGCAGAGGGCCCUGCCUGUUCAUGGACAGGGUGGGGAAGGGGCCUCUGGGUUUCCCUAACCCAGGGGCUGGUGGGGGGUGGAGGUGGGUGGCAGUGCUGACCAGCAAAGGAGCUCAAACAUCCCUAGAGGCAGGAGUUGGUCUACAGGGGAAACAACGCAAGGCUCAAGUUCUUCCUCCAGUGUCAGGACCCCUGAGGAGCUAUCGGGAGGCCCUACCCACACCGGCUGCUCCAGCUCGGCUGGGCCUGGAGAGACCUGAGGACCUGUGCCCUUUGUGAGCUGUCCCCAGCUGGCCCCAUCAGCAUUUCUCCCAUCCUCCCACAGCAGAAGGCCGAGGAGACCC